rnacentral:pre_miRNA from 1 species
AUACAGAUCACCUGGAGAUCUUACUAAAAUUCAGAUUCUGGUUCCUUUAGUCUAGGGUAGGACCCAAGAUUCUGAUUUCCAGUAAGUUCCCAGGUGAUUCCCUU